AAGUGGAGCAAUCCAUGAGUAAAGUGGCGUACGGGUGAGUAACACGUGGAUCAUCUACCUCUUAGUGGGGAAUAACCCUGGGAAACCGGGGCUAAUACCGCAUAAGCCUGAAAAGGGAAAGCAGCGAUGCGCUGAGAGAGGAGUCCGCGGCCGAUUAGCUAGUUGGUAGGGUAAUGGCCUACCAAGGCAAUGAUCGGUAGCCGGCCUGAGAGGGCACACGGCCACACUGGCACUGAAACACGGGCCAGACUCCUACGGGAGGCAGCAGUGGGGAAUCUUGCACAAUGGAGGAAACUCUGAUGCAGCGACGCCGCGUGAGCGAUGAAGCCCUUCGGG
rnacentral:rRNA from 1 species